rnacentral:lncRNA from 1 species
ACGAACAAUAGCUCAGACACUUCGAGUUGACGUGUUGCAUAGUUUUAUAUUCUCGUCGGUAUAUUAUAACAUGUGGUUCAUUUCUGCAGAGCAAUGUGAGAGGGAUAAGGCUCGAGUCCUUGUUCACUGCAUGUCAGGAAAAAAUAGGUUGAUUUUUAUUUUAUUGCUCUAUUCUUUUGUUAUCCAAGCAAUGCACACUAAAACAAACAUGAGCAUGUUGAAGCAGUGUUUUCCUCUUUCUCUUUUAUCUUAUAUUAUACAAGAAAGAAAAUUCAAAUUUGAAAGCUGAAAAUAGGAUUUUGUAUAAAAACUACGGUGGAAGAACCUAGUUGGACCUCACCCCUGAAUCUUUCUCUAUAAUAUGCCUUACACCCAGGUGUGUUUUUGCAAAUAGGAGAUUACCUGCUUUGUAUGUGUGUAAUACCUCCUUUUUCUUUUAUUGGGGAGGGGGGAUCGACUAACAUUGAGGCAAAAAUGCUCAGGUGUGUUUACACUUAGUUAAAUGGGACAAAUUGCUAGUGAGGAUGAUUAUAUUCUUUCUAACAGGUCACCAGCUAUUGUAGUAGCUUUCUUGAUGAAAUCUAAAAAGAACGGAGACCAUCUGUUGAUAUAAGUCAAGGUAUUUACUAACUUUGACUUAGAUUACCUAAUAUUUAUGGAAGCCAUUUUAUGUUGUUACCUUAGCUGAUUGAAUUCAUUCGCUUAAUUUAAAACUUAAGAAUGCCACUUUGUAUUAUUUGGAAGAGGAGUCAGGUCUAGUGCUGCUGCCAUCACUAUAAGGUCAGUAUGAUUGAAAUUUAGUUUAGAUAUUAUACACUUUUAAGGCCGCUGUCCGGGGAUAUAGGAAAUUCGCACUUCAGAACUUGCGUACAUGAUUGCAUGACUCAAGCUAAACCUUAGGUCUAGUAGACAUAAUAGUUUGUGAUGUUUAUUAAUAUGUGAGUUUCACUUUAACAUUCUCUAACAGAAGAACAACUUAAAAGUUAAAGAUUUUCACUUUAAUUUAGCAAUAUUUCAAUUUCUGCUAAUUUAUAAUUACUUACCUCGCUAUAAUUUUACAAUUUUCAGUCUGGAUUGAGAUCAAAUACAACACAGUCAGGUCAGACAUCAACUGCAAACUCUUCAGUGAAGUUGAAAUCACCAAAUAGGAAACGCCAAACUGGUGGAGAUCCUGUAAGCACACAAGAAUCAGUUGCAAAUUAGAAGCAAGCGAAGAGCUUUGGUAUUUUGUUAGUUUGAUAUUGGAUAUUUGAUUUGGUUGGUAUUAGUACAAAGUUUGUGUUGGCAUAGCUACUGUUUUGUUAGUUUGAUAUUGGAUAUUGGAUAUUUUAGUGUUGGUUGAUAUUGAUAUAGGCACUUUGUUAUUGUUGAGUUCUUUUUGCUUGUGCAAAUGCUGGAUGGGUUGAUAAAGGCCUUCAAUAUUUCCACUCAAUAAAAGACAAACAAGGAUUAAUCCAUACUGCUGAUCAUUGUAUUUGUAUAAUUGACUUAUUA